GCGGCAGGCUACACUGCAGUGUAACGCCCUUCGGGUGAGCGCCGGACGGGAUAGUAACGCGUGGGAACGUGCCCUUCUCUACGGAAUAGCCUCUGGAAACGGAGAGUAAUACCGUAUACGCCCUUUGGGGGAAAGAUUUAUCGGAGAAGGAUCGGCCCGCGUUAGAUUAGGUAGUUGGUGGGGUAACGGCCUACCAAGCCUACGAUCUAUAGCUGGUUUUAGAGGAUGAUCAGCAACACUGGGACUGAGACACGGCCCAGACUCCUACGGGAGGCAGCAGUGGGGAAUCUUAGACAAUGGGGGCAACCCUGAUCUAGCCAUGCCGCGUGAGUGAUGAAAGCCUUAGGGUCGUAAAGCUCUUUCGCCUGUGAUGAUAAUGACAGUAGCAGGGUAAGAAACCCCGGCUAACUCCGUGCCAGCAGCCGCGGUAAUACGGAGGGGGUUAGCGUUGUUCGGAAUUACUGGGCGUAAAGCGCGCGUAAGCGGAUUAGAAAGUUGGGGGUGAAAUCCCGGGGCUCAACCCCGGAACUGACUCCAAAACUGCUAGUCUAGAGUUCGAGAGAGGUGAGUGGAAUUCCGAGUGUAGAGGUGAAAUUCGAAGAUAUUCGGAGGAACACCAGUGGCGAAGGCGGGUCACUGGCUCGAUACUGACGCUGAGUGCGAAAGUGUGGGGAGCACACACGAUUUGAUACCUGGUAGUCCGCCGGUACGAUGAUGACAGCGCGGAUAGAUA
rnacentral:rRNA from 1 species